UACGUAGGGUGCAAGCGUUAAUCGGAAUUACUGGGCGUAAAGCGUGCGCAGGCGGUUUUGUAAGACUGUCGUGAAAUCCCCGGGCUUAACCUGGGAAUGGCGAUGGUGACUGCAAGGCUAGAGUUUGGCAGAGGGGGGUAGAAUUCCACGUGUAGCAGUGAAAUGCGUAGAUAUGUGGAGGAACACCGAUGGCGAAGGCAGCCCCCUGGGUCAAAACUGACGCCCAUGCACGAAAGCGUGGGGAGCAAACAGG
rnacentral:rRNA from 1 species